CAAAAAGUAGUUUAAAGUUAAAACGUUAAUUUUGGGUAUUAAUGAUAUUUUUAAAAAUUUUUUUGA
rnacentral:tRNA from 1 species